rnacentral:rRNA from 1 species
UACGUAGGGGUCGAGCGUUGUCCGGAAUCAUUGGGCGUAAAGAGCGUGUAGGCGGCUUGGCAAGUCUGACGUGAAAGCCCGCGGCUCAACCGCGGAUUGUCGUUGGAAACUGCCUCGCUAGAGUCCGGAAGAGGAGAGCGGAAUUCCUGGUGUAGCGGUGAAAUGCGCAGAUAUCAGGAGGAACACCAAUGGCGAAGGCAGCUCGCUGGGACGUGACUGACGCUGAGACGCGAAAGCGUGGGGAGCAAACAGG